rnacentral:sRNA from 1 species
GAUUCCCCUUUCAACUCAGAAAGUCAGUGACUUAAAUUCUGAUCCCUACUUACCAAUAAUUACUGAAUAGAUUUGACAGUGAUGCAUUCUUUUGUGUUGCCUGUUCUUCCAAUUGUUAUUUCCUUAGUAACACUCCUCCCGCCCCUGGCAGGUUGUAACAGUUACGAUAGCAAUGAUUUGUAGUGACUACCAACCCUCAGGGAACCAGGAUACUAUAGAUUCAUAGGGUUAUAAGGGACCUUAAAGGUCAUUUAGUCCAGUCUUGUAGACUUGAUUCUCUAGGGAUAUCUGGCCACUUUUUUAGUGGGUAUUUUUUAAGACAGUUAGUUUAUAAUGUUCCUCUAAACUGACUUGAUUUUUUAGUAAAAUUGACUGGUAUCAGAAAACUGGUGUAAGAAAGCUGGCAUGUGGGAAGUACUCUUGGAAGGGAACAAGAUAACAGCUGUCCACUUGUAAAGGCCUUGUAGGUUUCGUUCUCUGGCAUCAUUAACAUUAGCAGAGUAAUACAAUAGUAAUAACCUUGCUAGGCCUAAUUAAUUUUUCUCUGCUUAGUUUAUCUCAUAUUAAUGAGUUUUCAUAAAAAUAAGAGAAGAUUUUAAUUCUUUUUUUUCCCUCACAUUAUCAAUUUGGGACACUGGCCAUUCCAGUGAUGGCUGUCAUUGAGUCAGGAAUCUUGUUUUCAAGAUUAAAAUUUUAUCAUUUGUAUGUAGAUCAUUAGAAUACAAAAUGCCCUCCCCCACUUUUGCCAUUUUUGCUAGAAUUGGUGUCAGAAUAGAUUCAGUUAGGAGCAAAGUUCAGACACACAUGUUGAUUCAGGGAUCAGAGUCCAACAGGUAAAAGGCUAGAACCACCGUAACAAAUCAAUGCUGUUUUAUUUUUAUGUUGUGUUUAACUAAAGGACAUUCUGUAUUGACAGGCCACAUUUGUGCCAUUUCUUUUUUAGACUAAUAAUCAUUAUUGGAGAGGAGUUGUCUGCUAAUGUAACUACUUUGAAACUCUGAUGAGGAAGAAAGUGCUUCAGAAUCUGAACUUUGGAAGGGUCCACUACCAGAGACAGAUGAAAAA